GACGAACGCUGGCGGCGUGCUUAACACAUGCAGGUCGAACGGUAAGGCCCUUCGGGGUACACGAGUGGCGAACGGGUGAGUAACACGGGGGUGAUCUGCCCUGCACUUCGGGAUAAGCCUGGGAAACUGGGCCUAAUACCGGAUAGGACCACUGCCUGCAUGGGUGGUGGGGGAAAGCUUUUGCGGUGUGGGAUGGGCCCGCGGCCUAUCAGCUUGUUGGUGGGGUGAUGGCCUACCAAGGCGACGACGGGUAGCCGGCCUGAGAGGGUGACCGGCCACACUGGGACUGAGAUACGGCCCAGACUCCUACGGGAGGCAGCAGUGGGGAAUAUUGCACAAUGGGCGCAAGCCUGAUGCAGCGACGCCGCGUGAGGGAUGACGGCCUUCGGGUUGUAAACCUCUUUCAGCACCGACGAAGCGCAAGUGACGGUAGGUGCAGAAGAAGGACCGGCCAACUACGUGCCAGCCGCCGCCGUAA
rnacentral:rRNA from 1 species